rnacentral:rRNA from 1 species
AGAGUUUGAUCCUGGCUCAGGACGAACGCUGGCGGCGUGCUUUACACAUGCAAGUCGAGCGGUAAGGCCCCUUCGGGGGUACACGAGCGGCGAACGGGUGAGUAACACGUGGGCAAUCUGCCCCUCACUUCGGGAUAACCGCCGGAAACGGCGGCUAAUACCGGAUAUGACCACUGUCCGCAUGGGCUGGUGGUGGAAAGUUUUUUCGGUGGGGGAUGAGCUCGCGGCCUAUCAGCUUGUUGGUGGGGUGAUGGCCUACCAAGGCGACGACGGGUAGCCGGCCUGAGAGGGUGACCGGCCACACUGGGACUGAGACACGGCCCAGACUCCUACGGGAGGCAGCAGUGGGGAAUAUUGGACAAUGGGCGGAAGCCUGAUCCAGCAACGCCGCGUGAGGGAUGACGGCCUUCGGGUUGUAAACCUCUUUCAGCGCCGACGAAGCGAGAGUGACGGUAGGCGCAGAAGAAGCACCGGCCAACUACGUGCCAGCAGCCGCGGUAAUACGUAGGGUGCGAGCGUUGUCCGGAAUUAUUGGGCGUAAAGGGCUCGUAGGCGGUUUGUCGCGUCGGGAGUGAAAACUCAGGGCUUAACCCUGAGCUUGCUUCCGAUACGGGCAGACUAGAGGUAUGCAGGGGAGAACGGAAUUCCUGGUGUAGCGGUGAAAUGCGCAGAUAUCAGGAGGAACACCGGUGGCGAAGGCGGUUCUCUGGGCAUGACCUGACGCUGAGGAGCGAAAGUGUGGGGAGCGAACAGGAUUAGAUACCCUGGUAGUCCACACCGUAAACGUUGGGCGCUAGGUGUGGGAUCCAUUCCACGGGUUCCGUGCCGCAGCUAACGCAUUAAGCGCCCCGCCUGGGGGAGUACGGCCGCCAAGGCUAAAACUCAAAGGGAAUUGACGGGGGGCCCGCACAAACCGGCGGAACAUGCGGGAUUAAUUUCGAUGCAACCCCGAAAAAACCUUACCUGGGGUUUGACAAGUGGGAGUAAACCCCCCCAAAAAGGGGGGGGCCUUUAUUGGGCGCCCCCCCAGGGGGGGGAAGGGCGGGCCCCCACCCCCCUGUCCUCUAUAUUU